rnacentral:rRNA from 1 species
CUGUAGGUGAACCUGCGGAAGGAUCAUUGUCGAUACCUGCCCAGCAGAUAGACCCGCGAACACGUUGCAUCAUGAUCGAGGGAAAGGGUGUGGGGGUUCGAGCCCCUUCCUCCCUGACCCUUGUGCAAGGUCGGUCCACGGGUAUUCGUGGCAUUUGACCCAAACACAACCACCGGCGCGGUUUGCGCCAAGGAACUCACAACGGAAUGGGCGUGCCAUCGUACCUUUGGUGUGGUGUGCGUCGUCUUGAAUCCGAAUCUCACGAAUGACUCUCGGCAACGGAUAUCUCGGCUCUCGCAUCGAUGAAGAACGUAGCGAAAUGCGAUACUUGGUGUGAAUUGCAGAAUCCCGUGAACCAUCGAGUCUUUGAACGCAAGUUGCGCCCUAGGCCAUCGGGCUGAGGGCACGCCUGCCUGGGCGUCACGCAUCGCGUCGCCUGCCCUUUGUCGCCCUCGUGGUGGCCGAGUGCAGAGCGGAGUAUGGCCCCCCGUGCCCUUGAUUGAGGUGCGGUCGGCCCAAAGGAAAGGCCCCAUGUGUGGCGAGCGUCACGACGAGUGGUGGUUGAAGCCACUUUGCCACUAGUUCGGACGUCGUGUGGGCUCUGCCUACCUUGGGCUCUGGCGACCCUGAUUAUAUGUGUCGUCUUGCGACGACACUUCGACCGCGACCCCAGGUCAGGCGGGGCUACCCGCUGAGUUUAAGCAUAUCAAUAAG